rnacentral:rRNA from 1 species
GAUGAACGCUGGCGGCGUGCUUAACACAUGCAAGUCGAGCGAAGCGCUUUGGUUAGAUUCUUCGGAUGAAGACCUUUGUGACUGAGCGGCGGACGGGUGAGUAACGCGUGGGUAACCUGGCCUCGAUACAGGGGAUAACCAGUUAGAAAUGACUGCUAAUAACCGGCAUAAGACCGACAGUACCGCAUGGUACAGGGGUAAAAACUCCGGUGGUAUGAGAUGG